rnacentral:rRNA from 1 species
CCUACGGGGGGCUGCAGUAAGGAAUAUUGGUCAAUGGACGCAAGUCUGAACCAGCCAUGCCGCGUGGAGGAUGAAGGUCCUCUGGAUUGUAAACUUCUUUUAUUUGGGAAGAAACUCCCGAUUUCCAUCGGGAUUGACGGUACCAGAUGAAUAAGCACCGGCUAACUCCGUGCCAGCAGCCGCGGUAAUACGGAGGGUGCGAGCGCUAUCCGGAUUAGGGGGGUUUAGGUGGUCAGGUGAGGGGCUGGUAAAAUCUCCGGGCUUAACCCGGAAACUGCCAUUGAUACUAUUUGUCUUGAAUACUCUGGAGGUGAGCGGAAUAUGUCAUGUAGCGGUGAAAUGCUUAGAUAUGACAUAGAACACCCAUUGCGAAGGCAGCUCACUACGGAAAUAUUGACGCUGAGGCACGAAAGCGUGGGGAUCAAACAGGAUUAGAUACCCUAGUAGUC